rnacentral:rRNA from 1 species
GAUGAACGCUGGCGGCGUGCCUAAUACAUGCAAGUCGAGCGAACAGACGAGGAGCUUGCUCCUCUGACGUUAGCGGCGGACGGGUGAGUAACACGUGGAUAACCUACCUAUAAGACUGGGAUAACUUCGGGAAACCGGAGCUAAUACCGGAUAAUAUAUUGAACCGCAUGGUUCAAUAGUGAAAGACGGUUUUGCUGUCACUUAUAGAUGGAUCCGCGCCGCAUUAGCUAGUUGGUAAGGUAACGGCUUACCAAGGCAACGAUGCGUAGCCGACCUGAGAGGGUGAUCGGCCACACUGGAACUGAGACACGGUCCAGACUCCUACGGGAGGCAGCAGUAGGGAAUCUUCCGCAAUGGGCGAAAGCUUGACGGAGCAACGCCGCGUGAGUGAUGAAGGUCUUCGGAUCGUAAAACUGUGUUAUUAGGGAAGAACAAAUGUGUAAGUAACUAUGCACGUCUUGACGGUACCUAAUCAGAAAGCCACGGCUAACUACGUG